rnacentral:rRNA from 1 species
GGGGGAAAAUGGGGGGGCUGCCUAAGAAUGCAAGUCGAACGAGGUGUCCCAAUGAAAAUGAAGUACUUGUACGGAAGAGGAUUUGGAUUCACACCUAGUGGCGAACGGGUGAGUAACGGGUAGGCAACCUGCCCUCAAGACGGGGAUACCAGUUGGAAACGACUGUUAAUACCGGAUAGUAUACAAUAUCGCAUGGUAAUGUAUUUAAAGGAGCUUCGGCUUCACUUGAGGAUGGGCCUGCUUUGUAUUAGAUAGUUGGUGAGGUAAUGGCUCACCAAGUCAACGAUGCAUAGCCGAACUGAGAGGUUGAACGGCCACACUGGAACUGAGACACGGUCCAGACUCCUACGGGAGGCAGCAGUUAGGGAUAUUGGGCAAUGGAGGAAACUCUGACCCAGCAAUGCCGCGUGAGUGAAGAAGUAUUUCGGUAUGUAAAACUCUGUUGUAUGGGAGGAAAGAACUAGUAGGAAAUGGCUAGGAGAUGACUGUAUCAUACGAGAAAGUCACGGCUAACUACGUGCCAGCAGCCGCGGUAAUACGUAGGUGGCAAGCGUUAUCCGGAAUUAUUGGGCGUAAAGGGUGCGUAGGUGGCAUGUUAAGUCUGGUGUAAAAGGCAAUAGCUCAACUAUUGUAUGCAUUGGAAACUGGCAAGCUAGAGUGUGUGAGAGGUAAGUGGAAUUCCAAGUGUAGCGGUGGAAUGCGUAGAUAUUUGGAGGAACACCAGUGGCCGAAGGGCGGCCUUACUGGGCACAUAAUCUGAACACUGAAGGCACGAACAGCCGUGGGGGAGCAAAAUAAGGAUUAAGAUACCCCCUAGUUAGUUCCCACGCCCGUAAAAACGGAUGGAGGCGGCAUAAAGGGGU